GGAGAGAUGGCUUAGCGGUUAAGAGCACUGGCUGAUUUUCCAGAGAACCUGGGUUCAAUUCCCAGCAUCCA
rfam:Neotoma lepida isolate 417 scaffold_146, whole genome shotgun sequence.